CGCUCGGUGGCUUAUUAGUUAGAGCGUCUGUCUAUGAUGCCGGAGGUCGCAGGUUCGAACCCAGACCGAGUUA